GGGGCUGGGGCCGGAGCGGCUGUCAGGCUGAAGUCCGGCGAGCCAGCGCGGUGGGGCGGCUGGAGGGAGCGGCGCCGGCCCGGGCCCUGGAGAUGGUCCCCGGCGCCGCGGGCUGGUGGUGUCUCGUGCUCUGGCUCCCCGCGUGCGUCGCGGCCCACGGCUUACGCAUCCAUGAUUAUUUGUACUUCCAAGUGCUGAGUCCUGGAGACAUUCGAUACAUCUUCACAGCCACACCUGCCAAGGACUUUGGUGGUAUCUUUCACACAAGGUAUGAGCAGAUUCACCUUGUCCCUGCAGAACCUUCAGAGGCCUGUGGGGAGCUCAGCAACGGUUUCUUCAUCCAGGACCAGAUUGCUCUGGUGGAGAGAGGGGGCUGCUCCUUCCUCUCCAAGACCCGAGUGGUGCAGGAGCACGGCGGGCGGGCAGUGAUCAUCUCUGACAAUGCGGUUGACAAUGACAGCUUCUACGUGGAGAUGAUCCAGGACAGUACCCAGCGCACAGCUGACAUCCCUGCUCUCUUCCUGCUCGGCCGAGAUGGCUGGUCAAUGAAGGCGUCCAGCUGCUCUCGGUCCUGAGGCUUCAGUUCCAGAGCAUCACAGGCAUGGACCCACUGGCUCAGGGAGCUGGGGGUCCCAGGCAUCCAUGGUUGGAGAAGAGGAGGCCCAGCUCACAGGACUCUCCACCUCCAGGGCCCGUGGCCCUCUCUUGGAGGGGCUGCUCUUUGGCACAGAGCCCUUUGGCAUGACACACAUCCCCCGUACUCUGACUCAGACUGAGUUCCACCUGAGUGACAGUCCUCCCCCAGGGAGCAGACUGGAAGAGCCCCUCUACCACUCAUUCGCAGUCCCAAAUGCCCUGACACUAGACAGCAGCAUGGUUCUCAGGCACAGUUCUCCAAGGGAAGAUGAACUUUUCUCCCAACACCUGAAUUCCCAGAGACACCAGAGACACAAAGACAGCUAGGCCCAGCAGCCAUGAGGAGUGGACAAGAUGUGCUCACCUCGGUAGCGAUAAAGUGCAUUCCAGAGAAACUGUGCAGCCACCAGGGGCCGUUCUACAAAGACGGUCUCCCCCUUCCGGAUCAGUUGUGUGGCAAACAGCCCCUUUCCCUACCAGGGAGAAAAAGGAAUAGGAUGGCCAUAAAGAAAGAAAGAGGACACUGCUCCAAGGAUUCCCAGAGGGCUGCCCAGCAUCACCCCCCAUUCACCUCCCUCUCAGGAGAGGCUUCUGCCUUGGGAGGGUUGGUGGAACAUGGUCAGCAUCCCCCCAUAACUGCCUCCUCUGACCUACUUUCAGCCACACUUCUGUCAGCCUGUUCAGAGCAGAGGAACUGGGAUGCGGAGGGAGCUGCCAUGUCAGUCAGAGGAGGAGAAUUUUUGGAAAGGCCAGAGGAGCACCGAGGCUCCUGUACCAGGAGGUGGUAAUGACAGGGUGGUCUUCUUGGAGUUACCCAUGUGCCCCCCUCCAGGAUCCUGGCAAUGAUACUGCUGCUCAGGGUUGCAGAGGACUCCUAUGCCACAGUAGAGGGAAGCCUAGUUGGGGGAGAAUGUGCUGUAUUCCCCUGGUCAGUGGGGUACUCACAGGACACAAGUUCUCAGUGUUACACUAAAAGGAAUGACAAAUUCUAGCAUCAACCCUAAUACUACUUGCUGUGAACCUUGGAGCCAAUUGCUUCACUUCUUUGCAUCUGUUUCGCAUAUGAAAAUUAUAACAAUACCUACGGUAGUUUCCAGGAUGCACCUCAACCCAAGCUCACCUUAUGAGCUUUAGCUUCUUACUACUCAAAAUGAGGUGAUGGAUGGGCAACAAGGGCAUCAUCUGGAAGACUCAGAAAUGCAGAAUCUCAGGCCCCACCCACCCGAGACCUGCUGAAGCAGAAUGUGCAUUUUAACAAGAUGCUCAGAUGAUGCACAUGCAUGUUAAAGUCUGAGGCACUGUGGUCUAAAGCACUGUACACAGCCUGUAAGACAUGAAGGUGAUGCAGAGGGGCUCAGGAGAUAGCCUCAGAACCCAGGCAGUUACUGGCCCUGCUGGGCACUUACUCUGGAGGUACACUUAGAGAAGAGGGGUAGUGCCCCUGACAGCACUGAAUUGUCACAAAAAGAGAAUGAAGGAAGGAAGGAAGGAACGAACGGACAUAGCAGUGAGACGUCCCAUCAUGUGCCCUCUUAGGUAGCUCCCAGUUUCCUUCUAGCAUUGGCACUAUGGCUAGAUAGCAGAGCCUCCCAAAGUCAGAGAAGCAGGAAUGUGUAAACCAGGAUGGCCUGGAGCAACCCAUGAGCUACAGAUCUCAACCCUGAAUACUCUGGGAACUCUAAGUGCAGAGUGGGACAGCUGGACAAAACCUCUUGCCAAAGCCAUUGAUGUAUCCUUGGUUGCCUUCUUGGAACCCCACCUCCGUGCCUUUUAGUGCCAGACCCAAUCUAGCAAAAUGAAAAGAUGGCCUUCUUCAAUGGGACAAAGGGAUAUCAACAUGGACCCACACUAUCGCUGACAAUCUCAAAUCUCAACAUUGGGUAAAUAACGAUGUCUUUCUCUCUCUUUCUGGAGGACCGAAUGCAGAAAAUACUUAGUCAUCAAAACAAAGGGAACAGAAUCAAAGCUGGUUCCUUUAUGAAACCACUCAUCCCCCCAAACAUAAGACAGUGUUUCAAGAAAAGCAGCUCUCAUUUAUAUUACCAAGACGCUUGGAGAGAAGUAAACCUGAAUGCAAAGGGCAUAAAUUUGCAAAGAUAUUUCCAAUUUGAAAAAUACAUUUUAGAAAAAAUAUUGUGCAAAAUUCUACGACUAUGUAGUAAAUUUUAAAAGCUUUACUAAAUGGAUAAUUUUCUAGAAAAAUAUAAAUCAACAAAACUGAAUUCAAAAGGAAGAAAGCCUAGACAAAGAAGCAGUGCCGAUUAUCUGGUUGACCUGCACCAGUAUAGCACUCUGGUUGGCAUCCAUCAUCUUUGGUCAGACACUAUCAUGUUCUGAUUGGUACUGUCCCUGGCACAGUAGUUGGUCAAUCUUUAAAAGAUUGCUCUGGCAAAUAUCCAGAAAAGCAAUAGAGAAAAUAGUCAAAAACAACUCCCAUGUGAGGCCCCUAGUCCAUAUGGUUUAUGACCCACCUCUCUCAAGCCAAAGAAUAAGUAAUCCUUAUGCUAUUUUAACUAUUCAGUAACAGAAAAAUGGGAAGCUUCUCCAUUUUACCAAAAAACAAGUAUAACUCUGAUGUGGUAAUUUGAGGAAGAUAGCACAAAGGAAAAACCUCACAAAUCAAUCUUGCUUGAUGAAUAUUGAUGUAAAAAGCUUGGCAUAAUCUAUCUUGUCACCAUGUCUGGGUGGGUAUGUGAUUUUCUCCAGCGACAGAUCAGGUGUGGGCAUGGAGGGGGUGGCCAGCUCAUUCUUCUAGGGGUGGGGUUUGAUAGAGGGCUGGGAAAGGUCAAGUGGACAAGCAGAAUGGCUGAUGUGAUGAAGUGAGAGGAAGAAGGGAAGAGAGGAGGGGCUGAGAUAGGGGGUGCAGUGAAGGGAAAGGUGACUAUCUUUGUGUGCUAGGAGUGAUAGAACCCAGACACCAUCAAACUAUGACCUAGUCAAGAACCCCAGGGGCCUGUGGUGGAUAUGGAAAUGUGAGCAGCUGAGAACACCAAGGAUAUAGGGGAGCUGCUUUAUCAUGGAAGGAGAGGAAUGCUCCAGAUGUGCCUUGGAGUGGAAAGAAGGCAAUAGUGGGUUCGGUUGGGGAGAUCAGGAGGCAGAUGACUAGAAGGCUGACCUCUUGGGUAGGGUCCAGGAAUACACAGAGCCAUUACUCACGAUAAAUUAUUCAACUUCCUCAGCAAACAAAGAAAUGUAUAUGAAAGUGAUACCAUUUUCCACAUAUCACUUGGCAAAGUUAACUGGGAGAGAAAACACUCUGCUGAAGGGAACAAAAGGAUGUGUGCACAGAAAUUGAGCUUCAAGACCUCUGACCUCAGAGAUGAAAAAAUAAAGUACAACAUACAAGUCCACAAAUAAGUAGUUGGUUGAAUAACUGCGUCCAUCCCGUGAAACAGCUCUUAAAAAUACGUAGAAAUAGGUUUAUUGAUGUGAUUUACUGCUGCAUCAAACAGCGAUUUCUAAAAUUGUAAUUUUAAUAUUCACAUAUUUGUACAUA